AUUGAACGCUGGCGGCAGGCCUAACACAUGCAAGUCGAGCGGAUGAAGGGAGCUUGCUCCUGGAUUCAGCGGCGGACGGGUGAGUAAUGCCUAGGAAUCUGCCUGGUAGUGGGGGAUAACGUCCGGAAACGGGCGCUAAUACCGCAUACGUCCUGAGGGAGAAAGUGGGGGAUCUUCGGACCUCACGCUAUCAGAUGAGCCUAGGUCGGAUUAGCUAGUUGGUGGGGUAAAGGCCUACCAAGGCGACGAUCCGUAACUGGUCUGAGAGGAUGAUCAGUCACACUGGAGCUGAGACGCGGUCCAGACUCCUACGGGAGGCAGCAGUGGGGAAUAUUGGACAGUGGGCGGAAGCCUGAUCCAGCCAUGGCGCGUGUGUGAAGAAGGGCUUCGGAUUGUAAAGCACUUUAAGUUGGGAGGAAGGGAAGUAAGUUAAUACCUUGCUGUUUUGACGUUACCGACAGAAUAAGCACCGGCAAACUUCGU
rnacentral:rRNA from 1 species